AGUGAACGCUGGCGGUAGGCCUAACACAUGCAAGUCGAACGGCAGCACAGUAAGAGCUUGCUCUUACGGGUGGCGAGUGGCGGACGGGUGAGGAAUACAUCGGAAUCUACUUUUUCGUGGGGGAUAACGUAGGGAAACCUACGCUAAUACCGCAUACGACCUACGGGUGAAAGCAGGGGAUCUUCGGACCUUGCGCGAUUGAAUGAGCCGAUGUCGGAUUAGCUAGUUGGCGGGGUAAAGGCCCACCAAGGCGACGAUCCGUAGCUGGUCUGAGAGGAUGAUCAGCCACACUGGAACUGAGACACGGUCCAGACUCCUACGGGAGGCAGCAGUGGGGAAUAUUGGACAAUGGGCGCAAGCCUGGUCCAGCCAUACCGCGUGGGUGAAGAAGGCCUUCGGGUUGUAAAGCCCUUUUGUUGGGAAAGAAAAGCAGCAGGUUAAUACCCCGCUGUUCUGACGGUACCCAAAGAAUAAGCACCGGCUAACUUCGUG
rnacentral:rRNA from 1 species